UUUUUUUUUUUUUUUUUUUUUUUUNUUUUUCUUUUUUAAUGGCUAUACUCACAGCAUAUGGAAGUUCCCUGGCGGGGAGUUGAAUCCAAGCCACAGCUGCAACCUUUGUACAGCUGUGGCAAUGUCAGGUCCUUUAAUCCACUGCAUCAGGCUGGGGAUCAGAUCCCCACCUCUGCAGUAACCAGAGCUGUUGGCAGUCCGAACAGAGCUUAACCCUCUGUGCCACAGUGAGAACUCCAAUUUUCAUUUCUUUAUCUUGAUUCUCUCCUUUGGGAGUCAUGUAUAAUUUUAUCUUAUCUUGAUUUACAUGUGAUGGCCUGUUUGCUAUCUUGGUCCCCUGAGUUACUUAUUUUUUCUUGUUUGUGGUUCUCAUUGUGUAGUAUUGACUCCUCACCCCCUUCCUCCAAUCUUUUAGACAUCCCUCUAGCCAGUGCAGUACUCCUCCUUUUAAUGGCCACUGGACUACUUUAAGAUUUAAUAAGUGUUUCACGAAGUAUUGCAGUGGUCUCUUUAAUCUGUCAAGUUAGGCUCAGUUAUGUUACAGUAACAAAAGACCUAAAAGAUCUUUUGAGAUCUAAAAGACAGUUCAGGUUUAUUGCUUCUCAUGCUUCUUCCCUCCAGGCAGCAAUUAUGCUUUUGGGGCACCCCCCGUAAGAGACUCCUGGAAAAGAGCAAAGACCAAUUGCAAAAUAUGUGAUAGUGCAUUGAAGCCUCUGUUUAGUAGUGGUAUAUGCCAUUUCUGCUCAUAUGUCUCAACCAGAACAUUUACCACCAAGCUUAAAGUCAAAUGAGAAAGUAUAAUCCAUCAGUGAGAGGUAGCAGAGUCUCAUGGCCAAGCUUGAUAUCAAUGGGACGGGGAGGGAUAGCACAUAUAUGGGGAAAGGAUGUAGUCUACCAUACAUCUUAGCUGAAAUCUUUUCUAAUAAUCUGUCCUCCAAAACAUAGAUAUGUUUCUAAAACAAUUAUCAGUAUAUUUAUGCAGGUUUUUAAAACCUUUGAGUCAUAUUGGCUUCUUUUAGUAUUUUCUUUACCUGUGAUUUUUGAGUCAGAAUUUCAAUAUCUGAUAGAGUGUAGGCCUUGUAAGUUGUAUAGUUUUUAGAUCAUACAAUCAUGCUUAUUAUUUCCUCUCUUCUGAGAAAGUAGUGUGCUUCCUAUCUUCUUAAUGAUCAAUUAUUCCUUUUUGGCAAGAUGCCCAGAAUGAUAAAAUAACCAUUAAUUUGGCUUUUCACUUUUAUAGAAUCUCUGCUAAUUUGACUUGACUUUCCCCCCACCCCCUUUGCACACUCUCUCUUGCUCUGUUUUUUUAAAAUAAUGUACUAUUUCAUGUUGUUGUUCAUCACUUGUUUAUAACUUUGUAGGAUUUUUGUAUGCAUUUAUAAUGAAUGUCUCAAAGGUUAUACUUUGUGUUUUAAAUUCAGGUUGUCUCACAUUCCUCCUUAAUAGAAAAGUACUUUAGCUGUGGAUAGAUCUUGAAAAACAAAAACCAGCAAUCUUUUUAUAGAAAUUUCUUCAUUUGGCAUUUUAAUAUUGCAGAUUUAAUGGCUGUUACUUUUACGUUGUUAUAAUUUAUAUAGUUUUCAUAAUAUUACCAUAUUUUUCUCAUAGACCUAUCUAAAUGAAGUAAAAUAUUGGGUUGAAAAGCUUUAAAAAAUCCAGGAAAUAUGUGCAGUUCCUAUCACCCAGGGUUUUAUUGUUACCUCAGUGAUUUGUACCACAUAUGGGACUUUGAAAAUCUUGCUUUUGUAGUUUUGAAGGAACACUUAAGAAUUUUUGGCAUAAUGCUGAAAUUUUUUUGGGGGGGGGGAUUUCUAAAAUUCAUAUCAGGAGUUUGUCAUGGUGUAGCAGAAACAAAUCCGACUAGGAACCACAAGGUUGCAGGGAUCAAACCUGCAUCUUCAUUACCAUUGAGCCACAAUGGGAACUCCUGGCCUUUUUAAUCUAUAAAAUCUGCCAUACCUACAUAAUUUGAAGGGCACAGAAGGAGCCAGAGCCAGCGGUGGCUCCCUUCUUAACCUUCCAACUAUCCCAUCAGGGAAAUGGUUGCUGAUUUUUAUUCUCUGCUUGCUGCUAUGGCUCUUAUAGUCUUACAUUAAAUCUGCCCAUAAUUUGGGGAUUAGAGAUCGUGGCUUGCCAGCUUGAAAAUCCAGUCGUUCUUGUAGUUAAUUAUUUACUAGUAUUGACACAGAAACAUGUGUAUACACAACCUGAUUUCUUUAUUUUUCAGCAGCUAUUUCUUUUAUUCUUCAAACAGUGACUUUGGGGGAGGUAGAAGGGGGUUCGGAACUAUUUCUGAGGAGAAAUGCUUUCUUAGAACUAUUGCAUAAAGAACAUUUUAUAAGUCUGAAAUCACAUUGUGAUAUUUCAAUAUAAUAUUGUACUACUUUACAGAAUGUCAAAUCUUAAUGGUAAGGUGAUUUUGAAAACCUCAGUAAUAAUGACUGUUGUUACUGAGUGGACACCUGGGGUUAACUGCUAUAUAUUCUUAGCAUCAUUUGUGAUGUUGAUUUGAAGAAAUUUUUGCAGAUGAGGUAUGUUUUCUGGCUUUAUGUAUUUGUCAAGUUAAAUACAAACUUUGUCCCUCAAAAAUAAUAAAAUUUAAUAGAGUAAAAGGGAAAAUUAUAUUUGCAAUAUUCUAUAGUUUUUAAUACCUUAGUGACAUUAUUUCUCUUUAAAAGAUUUGCUUAGGAGUUCCCAUGGUGGCUCAGUGGUUAACAAACCUGACUGGCAACCAUGAGGAUGUGGGUUCAAUCCCUGGCCUCUAUCAGUGAGCUAAGGAUCACCAGAUGCUGUGAGCUGUGGUGUAGGUCGCAGACAUGGCUCGAAUCUGGCAUUGCGGUGACUGUGGUGUAGUCCAGUGGCUGCAGCUCCAAUUCAACCCGUAGCCUGAGAACCUCCAUAUGCCGCAGGUGCAGCCCUAAAAUGACCAAAAAAAAAAAAAAAA
rnacentral:lncRNA from 1 species